CGGAGCAACACCUUUGCAUUUAAAAAAAGAGAAGAAGAACCUCACGCUAACACAUUAAUUUAACUCCUUUUUCACAGACUAGGAAGAAUAUAUGCCUAAUCAAUCCAGUGGAACCUGUGUUUGAUGAGGAGAAACUGAGUGGAUGUCAUAAAUAGUUUUACAAAGAAGAUUGCAAGACUAGCAGCCAAGUGACAGACUGGGAGCCAAACCAUCAUCAGGUUCGUGGAAGACAUUUUUCUCACUGCUCAAGCACCAUGAUCAUCUCCCGGUUGGGAUCCACGUAGAAGGUGUCAGCCUUGCCGGAAUGAACCAGGAUAUAUGGUGGAUCCGGGUUUGGAGAGCCGCCCGGAUGAAGUGGUUCCAGCCGGGAUGUUGUUGUGCUGUCCUCCUGGCAGAGUUGGGAGUAAGUCACAUAUUUGUAAGUCAUAAGUCUCAAGUCUUAAGGCCCACCGCACACCAAGCGACAUGACCGAACGCGACUGAAUUGUCGCACAGAGUGUAGGGUUCUGCCACUAGUUUUCAUGAGUUACAUGCUAACCAACCGUUGGCAUGUAGUUAGCAUCAAUUACAAAAUCAAAUCACAGUUGAAAGGCUAUGCAAUGUCACAGAUGUAAAUGGUUCCAAAAACCAGUCUUUGUUGUCCAUUACUUUGUUGUGUUUUAAAAUAAACGCAUAACCGACAUGAACCUAAGUUAAUGUUUGACCGGCUAUCAGUGAGUUCAAUUUUGACGCGAAUGUACCUUACCUGCCUUUGUGGGUUUUAUAGUAACGUAACGGAUGAAGUUAAAUGUCGUAGUUGUUGUGUCUCUUAUUUUUGAUUUGCAAACCUUGCAUGUUGCCAUUCUCUUUAUUUUUCAAAUUUUAUCAAAAACUUAAUUCUUGAAUCCAAAUGUAGUCAUCUUAGGAAUUCUUGCGAUGAUACCU